rnacentral:rRNA from 1 species
CCUACGGGGGGCAGCAGUGGGGAAUAUUGCACAAUGGGGGAAACCCUGAUGCAGCGACGCCGCGUGAGUGAAGAAGCGUUUCGGCGCGUAAAGCUCUGUCAGCGGGGAAGAAACACGGUUCGCGAGAGCCGCGGACGGUACCCGACCAAGAAGCCCCGGCUAACUACGUGCCAGCGGCCGCGGUAAUACGGAGGAUGCGAGGGUAAUCCGGAGUCAUUGGGGUAAAGGGGUGCGCAGCGGGACCUUUAAUCCGACGGGGAAAUCGCGGGCUUAAACACCGCCGUGCCGUCGGAACUGGGGGCCUUGAGUGCGGCGGAGGCAGGCGGAAUGCGCGGUGUAGCGGUGAAAUGCAUAGAUAUCGCGCAGAACCCCGAUUGCGAAGGCAGCGUGCCGUGCCGCAACUGACGCUGAGGCACGAAAGCGUGGGGAUCGAACAGGAUUAGAUACCCUAGUAGUC